GACGAACGCUGGCGGCGUGCUUAACACAUGCAAGUCGAACGGAAUUGCUCUGCUUUUGUUGGGUGCUCGAGUUGCGAACGGGUGAGUAACACGUGAGUUACCUUCCCUUGACUUUUGGAUAACUUCAGGAAACUUUGGCUCAUACUGGUUAGUUGCUCCUGCUGCUUUGUUGUGGUUGGAUCGUUUCGGCGGUUGGGGAUGCACUCGCGGCUUAUGAGCUUGUUGGUUGGGUAGUGGCUUACCCAGGCUUUUACGGGUAGCCUGCCUGAGUGGGUGACCGGAGACAUGGAGAAGGAGAUAAGGCCAAGACGCAUACGGGAGGAAGCAGUGAGGAAUAUAACACAAUGGGAGGAAGCCUGAUGCAGCAACGACGGGUGCGGGAGGACGGACUUCGGGUUGUAAACCGAUAUAGCCUGUGACGAAGCGUGAGUGACGGUAAUGAGUAAAGAAGCACCGGCUAACUACGUG
rnacentral:rRNA from 1 species